rnacentral:rRNA from 1 species
UACGGGGGAUGCAAGCGUUAUCCGGAUUUAUUGGGUUUAAAGGGUGCGUAGGCUGUAAGGUAAGUCAGCGGUGAAAGUUUGUGGCUCAACCAUAAAAUUGCCGUUGAAACUGGAAGACUUGAGUGUGUUUGAGGUAGGCGGAAUGCGUGGUGUAGCGGUGAAAUGCAUAGAUAUCACGCAGAACUCCGAUUGCGAAGGCAGCUUACCAGUCUGCGACUGACGCUCAGGCACGAAAGUGUGGGUAUCGAACAGG